rnacentral:snRNA from 1 species
CUGCCUUAAACUAAUGAGCAAGGAAAAAACAAGCGACUGGUAGCACUGGUCGCGCGUCUUUCGUACGCAUGAAUUUUUGUUGGAUCAUAUAGGCUGGCCGGGAGCUGACACUGCCUACUUCGCAGGACUUUCCUGAGCAGGCCUCC